AUAAUCUGGUUUUGGAAUGCCUGGAGAAGCCAAUUGAUCAUUCGAAGUUAAGCAGACCUGGACAUUAGAAAAACUAGUUACUGUAAAGUUCCUACUUGUCAAUUGCUCCAAAGCUUUUCUCAAAACACCAACAAUGAAAUUGAUUAUAAGCAUUGCUUUGCUUUGUAUGGUAAUUUUCAUCCAUGAUAGCGCUGCCAACGGUGACAAACAAAGCCGAGAAAGGCCAACUCCACCUUGUCCUGAAGGAUGGAAGGUACUGAAGGCCAACCCUGAGAAAUGUGUCCGCCGAAAAAACCCUGCCAUCCUUACGCCAUGUCCUGAAGGUUGGCAAGAGAGUGAGUUGAAUCCCGGAACAUGUGAAAAGGCUCCAAGAACAGAAGAGACCAAUGUAGUUGAUCCUACUCCACCUUGCCCUAAAGUGGUACGGGUUGUCGAUGACCAAUACCAGGGUUGAUACCAAAGGGAUGAUGAUACUAUAGCGAUGAGACAAACAUCGAUGGCGUGGCAGGCAGAGUACUCAUCAGGAUGGAAGGUGAGCAAAAAGAACCCGGAAAAAUGCGUGGCUAAGCGCCCAAAGAAGAAUCAAGAUGAUGAGGAAUAACGAAUAAAGAAGCAAUCCAAUGUCGAGUUUUUGGCCAAUCAAUGAUAUUUGUGAUGAAAUAGCUAUGCGAACGUUCCGCACAAUUUCUUCAUUUGGUAUUAUUGAAGUACAAUAAAGCUGUUUCAUGAUAUCAAA